rnacentral:rRNA from 1 species
AAUUGGACUCAACGCCGGGCAGCUCACGGAUAAGCAGCUGGAUGAUAGCCGGGCUGAAGACUCUGCUUGACUAGCUGAGAGGAGGUGCAUGGCCGUCGUCAGUUCGUACUGUGAAGCAUCCUGUUAAGUCAGGCAACGAGCGAGACCCACGCCAACAGUUGCCAGCAUGUCCUCCGGGAUGAUGGGGACACUGUUGGGACCGCUCUGCUAAAGAGGAGGAAGGAAUGGGCAACGGUAGGUCAGCAUGCCCCGAAUUAUCCGGGCUACACGCGGGCUACAAUGGUCAGGACAAUGGGUAUCGACACCGAGAGGUGGAGGCAAUCUCCUAAACCUGUCCUUAGUUCGGAUUGUGGGCUGCAACUCGCCCACAUGAAGCUGGAAUCCGUAGUAAUCGCGUUUCAAAAUAGCGCGGUGAAUAUGUCCCUGCUCCUU